GGGAGUAUUUGGGCUUGGGAGAGUUAAGAGGUGGGUCAUGAUUAAAACAAAAGUUGUUGUAGCAAAAUUGCAAUCAUAAUAUUUUUGAGAACAAAAUUUAAGUGGACGUUAUAAUUUGACUGGCCGAAAAAGUGACAUGACAAAGAUGACUUGUAUUGAUAAGUCAAAUAUGACGUCAAAAUCACCAAGGAUUCGUCCUCAAGGACAUGCUAACAUGCCAUUUGGGAGGUCAGCUAACGAAAUCCUUUUUCAUUUAAAUAAAGAGUAACCCAAUUUCAAUUCAGUUUUAUUGAGAUAAGCUUGAAAUAACUUGAGAAUCAAGUUAUCUAUUUCCUACCAAGUUAUGGAUUAGGAAAUAGGAAAAUCCUUGGUAUUUAGGAAUUAUCUAAAUAUCAUAUAUUUAAUGUGUUUAGGACUUUAGAUAUAUAUAUAUGUAGAUACCAAAGUGUGGUAUCACAUAAGAGUUUGAGAUUGAGACUUGAGAGCUUAGUUUUGAGUGAGUUUUUCUAAGGCAAUAAAGAAGAGUUAUUUCUUUGAGAUCAAGUUACGUUCGAUCCUUAAGUUCUACAUUUGGUAUCAG
rnacentral:lncRNA from 1 species